UACGGAGGGAGCUAGCGUUGUUCGGAAUUACUGGGCGUAAAGCGCGCGUAGGCGGUUUGGUAGGUCCGCUGUGAAAACUCGAGGCUCAACCUCGAGACGCCGGUGGAAACCAUCAGGCUAGAGUCCGGAAGAGGAGAGUGGAAUUCCUGGUGUAGCGGUGAAAUGCGCAGAUAUCAGGAAGAACACCCGUGGCUAAGGCGGCUCUCUAGUACGGUACUGACGCUGAGACGCGAAAGCGUGGGGAGCGAACAGG
rnacentral:rRNA from 1 species